GACGUAGGGCGCGAGCGUUGUCCGGAUUUAUUGGGCGUAAAGAGCUCGUAGGCGGCUUGUCGCGUCGACUGUGAAAACCCGCGGCUCAACCGCGGGCCUGCAUUCGAUACGGGCAGGCUAGAGUUCGGUAGGGGAGACUGGAAUUCCGUGGUGUAGCGGUGAAAUGCGCAGAUAAUCAGGAGGAACACCGAUGGCGAAGGCAGG
rnacentral:rRNA from 1 species